UCCAUCGGUGGCAGCAGGCAGCGCAGCACACACAUGCAGCUCUCUCUCUCACUCUCUCUCACAUGUCUCUUUCAUUCACUGCAUAUUCAUGCACACACAGCAGCUGCAUCUCUGGUCUCUCUCUCCCUUCUGUUAUUGUUUUUCCGCCACCACGAGAAGCUAGCAGCAGCUGCUGCUCCCGUUCCCCUGCUCCUUGUUCAACACUGAGAUGCAAACCAACAGUUCCUCUUCCCUCUCCCAUGCCAAGCACAACAAGCAAGAGCUCCAAUCUGAGCACCAUGCGCCACUUCUCCAUCUCCCUCUGUUCUUCUACUCCUACCGCAAGCCAGCAAGCCAGUGGCCCUCUCCCCUCUCUGAUUUCUUCCACGAGAAAACAGGCAAGCAAGCUGCAGCAGUGCAGUCCACCAUCCGUUCCACCCCUGCUCCUCUCGCUCGAGCAGAGCGACGUGACGCCGGCGGCCACGGGCCGGACAAGUAGAAGCGUGUCGACGACGCCGACGCCAAAUCACCGACGGCCACGACGAGCAGUGCCGCGAGCCGUAGCUCCGACCUCGCCGACGACCAAGCCAAGCUGCCGCCGCCGAGCCGUGUGUUGUCGUACCGCGAGUCCACACCCCGCGCCGGCCACGCCUUCACCGUCGACCCACGGUGAGCGCCGUCCCGCUCCCGACGUCCUAGUGCUGCCGAUGUGAGCUACGGCCGCCGAUGACCCCUCCAUAGAGCCUAGGACCCUCGUUCCGUGUUCUUGUGCAGGAACCGAACACCGUCACCAUACGUUUCCUCGCUGCAGCCAGACACUGCUGCGGUCCGGCAUAGUCACAAAGUUUCUGCGUCGACGGGUCGAGGAACGGGGUCGAGGGUCGAGGGUCGUCACUUUAUAAAAUUAUGGUACGAAGGGGGUAUACCUCUGUGGAACGAUAAAUUAUUAUGUGGGACGUGACCCUAAUUCAUCCGGGUCGAUAUUUUCGGGUCGAUGCGUCUUUAAAAAGACAAAAACUAUAUAUGUGCUACUAAUGAAGAAACUAAUUUGCACAAGCAUAUAAAAAAUAUAUAAAAAGAGUACAUUUAGACAAUAGUACACGUACUCGGCUCAUUAUCUAACAAAAACUACACCCUUAACCUUCUUAUCCCAAUUAAAUCUGCUAGUAAUGGGGUUGUGACCCCUCUCAAACAGGGACGCGAUCCAAUCUUGAAUGGGACACUGACCCUCUUUGACCCCGACCCUCGAAUCGAAACGGCGUUCCCGGGUCGUGGGACGGGGCAUCGACCCCGAAUCCUGUAACUAUGGUCCGGCCUUGCCGGCGUUUCGCGAGCGUCUCGGCCGUUCCGCGGCCUCGGCCAUGCCGUGAGCCCGUGCGCGCGUGCUCACCCUUGGCCGCAAGGCACUCCCUUUACUCCUCAAAGCCCAACCUGAGUUGCGUGCCUGCGCACGGCCAAAGGCCCUGCCUCUGCGCCGCUCAACCUAGCCGAACUGCUCUGCCACAAUGUCAAGACGACGACGCCGAGCUGAAGCCAUUGCCGGGAGCAACGACGACGUCAACGGCCACGAGCACGAGGAAGCUGAACAUGUCCUUGCAGCACACUGACACACUGCAGCCACAGACGCAGGUCCGCCACGACCAAGCAUGGAACAAGCCCCGACCCAGACCAAACAGGCACACCGUUCUGUCGUCGCCGAUGUCGCGACACGAGCUCCGCGAACGCACGAUUGGCCUUGCCAAGCCUACCUGCGGUACCACGGCCGCUCUGCCCCGCGCUUUUGCCGUGGGCUGGCACGUCACGAACCAGCCAUGCCGGGCACCGUGCGCAUGCAUGCUGCUGGAGGCUGUCACAAUUGCCACCGUACUCGCACGCCCCGGGCACGAGCCAAGUCGUCGUGGACUAGUCGUCACUGGACACCACGAGCGCAAGCCUGCACAAUCGUUCUUUUUCCAUAAAUAAUCUGAAGUUACAGUCUAUCCAACCGUGCACAAGGCAGGCUUUUGUUCGGUAGAACGGAUGCCGAGCCGUUCGCUGGACGAAACGUUGCCGACUCGUUGCCACGUGCCAACAUCCUACUCAGGGUGCCCCUCGCGGUGCCAUCCCCUUUCGCUGAGCCCACGACACGUGUGAACCGCACUCACGCACGUCGCAACACUGGCCCCACGAUGAGACCGCACAUCACUGUUCGGCAGCUUUCGGCGCCGUUCCACACUGUGGCACCAUGAUGCUUUUCCGCCCGUGCCGGCUUUGCCGUCUCGUCACAUGUGUGUCGGCAACGCCGCUUUUCGCUAUAGUGUUAUCUCUGUUUUCGCACCAGUACCCCGUCACGCCGUUGUCGGCCACUGCCUCCUCUUGGUCGAUAAAAGGCGCAUUCGCGUAGCUCCUCCAUCACUCCCAACUCAUUCCCGACCAACCCAGCUACCUUUCCAUCCCGAGCUCACUCAUUCCAUCGGUUCCAUUAGAGCAAGGAUUUGCUCGCCGCUCUCUCAUCCUAGCAAGCUCAUUGUGCUCUUGUAGUCGCCGAGAGCUGACGAAUGACGAUGAGAAGAAGCCUGGAGUCCGGUGUCGUACCGCAAGCAGAAGCCUGGAGUACGUACCACGAGCACGAGGACUAGUACCGCGAGACGAAAAUCGAAACAUGUACCGCGAGUUGAGCUACCCAUUUGUUGAGCGAAGGCAAGUCCAACAUUAUCCCUUUUGAUCACGUUUAUCCCAGUUUUUAAACACAACCCGUAGAAGCCUAUUUAAAAGUGCAUUCAAUUGGUAUAUGAAACCUUGAAAUAUUUUACUGCUUGAUGUAGUUAAAUACCCUUUGAAAGGCCAUACCUUGCUAUUGUUUGCAUCCUGAUUAUCCCUUGACAACCUAAGAUUUAUCUUUAAACAUGAUUAGCUCUGUUUAGAUGAAUGCCUUGAUAAAUGAUGCUAGCAUGCUUAGGAUUUAUUUAUACAGUAUUACUUACUGUUAUUUACCAAAUGCAAUCAUUUAUAAACGAAAAACUGGGUUGGUUAUUUUUAAAAGGUGUGAGUUAAAUUUUUAAAAAGAAUAAUGAACAUGAUGACGAUGAUGGUGAUUACCCAGAGAUGGGGCGGAAUAGGGUCCAUGUGUGGGACCACUGGAGAUUGGACUCGAGCCUGUGUGGUAGGGUCUUGUAGUUGUCCGCCUUAUCUCGAUUAAGGACCGGUAAUUGGUAUUAUUCUAGUCAAGUAUUACAGUGCAACUAUAGGACCAAAUGGGCACUGGCCUUAGCUUAUUAAGUCAGUCGGCUCGAGAGGAUGCUACCGCCCGAGUGCUCGAGGAGCUCGUCAGUGUCGGGGUAGCUAACCCGGUCAGAUGUACGGAGCCGCGAUACUCCGGCAGUCUGUCGUGUAGCAUAUUUUGGGUCCGGCUGAUGUAACGGCUCUGUCAUGUUAGCUUGCCGACACAUCUAAGGAAUUGUGUAUAUGCGCGCUGAUCCCGCGCUGGCGUCAAAGCGAAACAUGUCGUGUGGGUAAAGUGUACGACCUCUGCAGAGUGUAAAACUAUUCGAAUAGCCGUGCUCACGGUCAAGAGCGCUGGUACUAGUCGCCGGUUUUAGAACUUUUAAAAUAUUUUUGAAAAAAUGGGAUUUGGGACUGGUUUUCGGAAAUGCCCGGCAAGAGUGCCGUGGGCUACUGCGGACGGAGUGUCCGGUAGCAUUAAAAGUUGAACUCACUUCUUUUUAAAAAUACUUAUAAAUAUGACUAUAUUACUCUUUUGCUAAAAUGCCUUUACAAAAUUAACUUUGCAUGGGUAAAAAUCUCCUUUUCGCAAAAUAAACCCCAAUCACUUCCUUGUACUUCAUUAUGCAUGAACUUUUAUCCCCCUCCAUAGGGCGGGGUUGGUCUUGCUGACUACUUUUGUACUCACCCUUGCCUACAUUUACAGAGACGGUUCUACGUCGGAGAAGUCUACCCGUAGUCGUCACGUCCGCACCCGACUCGCCUGUGGCGUGGGCCAUCACGAUGCUGAGUUGCGAUGUUGACUGCUUCAUCAAUGUUUUUUUUUGCCUUAGCACUAGCUUUCUUUCUUUCUGUUCUUCUUUUAUUUUAGAUUGAAAUCCAUAAACCGCUGCCAUACAAUCGGCAAUGAUCCAUUCUGCCGAAAUAUGUGUACCAGCCUCCUGAGGCUGGAAUUAUACCACAUGUGGCUCCUGUGUAAGCGGGGUCGCGACACGGCCGUUCGAGCUGGACAAUGGGAGUGGGGAGAGAGAACGGAGGAGAAGAAGUGGAGGAUGAGAUUGAUAGUCGGGGCUCACAGAAUGGAGAGUAUAUGAAGAGCGGGAUUUAGCUAAGCUGGUUGGUUCUCCAACCCUUUGGUUAGCUUUUUAUUUGUUUGCCUAUUCUUUUGCCUAAUCAUUUAGCUAGAAAUUUAACAUAAUAUCUUGGAGUUGCUUUAAGACCGGACACGCAAACCAAUGCAUGAUGUGAAAUUACAAAAAUACCCCUCAUCUUUUGUGAGAA